rnacentral:RNase_P_RNA from 1 species
GGGGAGGUGAUCAAAGAGCAGGCCAAUCAGUUCAUUCAGAAGCAGUCCCUGUUCCCUGAGACUGGGGCCUCCUGAGGCCCUAACCGGGCUCUUCCCUAGUGGGGAGGUGAGUUCCCAGAGAGCAGGGCUCCACACAUGGGCAGACUGGGCAGGAAAUGCUCUGAGUGGGAGGAUGCCUCCGUCGUGGGACUCACGGCCAGCACAGAGGGAGUUCCUCCGUCUUUCAUAUGAUUCCCUGCACUCU